GACUCCGUAGCUCAGCUGGAUAGAGCAGCCGCCUUCUAAGCGGCAGGUCGUAGGUUCGAGCCCUACCGGGGUCGCCA
rnacentral:tRNA from 70 species